rnacentral:lncRNA from 1 species
GCCACUGCCAUUACAGAAGAGUCAAAAAGGAGAGCCAGCAAUACCCUGAACACCAACACCAUGAACUUGACAUCAGCUUUGGCUCCUGCUAGGGAAUUCUUUGGUGCAUUUUGAGUGAUGGACGGCCAGGGAAAUGCCCACCUGGCCCCGGUGAGAGCUAGCACAAGUCUGACCACCCAAAGCCCUCCUUACCCAAUUCAGAAUGGAAGCAAAGAGCUGAGAGUAACAGCUCGAAAUGACCAGCAGCCCUACCUGGGAUGGUGGUGUGGACAAAGCUGCUCCACAGGAAGGAGUGCGACCUUCCCUCUAUGUCCAAGCUCCAUAAACCAGGGUAAAGGUCAAACUAAGACUCCACCCCCUUCCCACCCCAAAUGCCCUGGCUUUCCUGGAUAAGGAGUGCACAGCCCUAAUAAACACCUCCUGGUCUGCGGAGCUGUGGGGCUGAUGGGAAAGCAAGGGCGGCUGUCCUCCAGGCCUCGUGGGAACUCAGGUAAGGAACAAGUCGUCCUCUGUCCACAGAAUGUGCUGGGACAACUCCCUCCCCUUCUGGUAAGUAACUGAAGGCUUCUCAGAGAGGUUGAGGAACUUGCUCAGAGCCCCACAGACAGUCUGAGGCCCAGCCCUGUAUUUGAACUUCUCGUAUCAAAGCCCUUGGGGAUUCGAAGAAAAAGUGGAGACCCAGGCUGAAAAAGUCAAUGACCAUCUUUAUGAAGGAAAAGGAACUUCCCGAGUCGUUAUUAAAGUAAUGCCUGGGGGGAUCCGGAAUGGGAAGUAGCCUGCUUCCCGGCAGAGGAGUGUUCAGGGCCAAGGACACAGUGUUUUCUAAGGCACAUUCCAGGGCAGGGAAAGCCUGCCUAUGGCCAUCAGGCCCAGGGCCUUCGCUGGCCCUUCCUCUGCAUCGUGCUCACUGUGGACGUGGCUUCCUUCCGAGGACAGUGGGCCUCCAGCCAGAGGCCUCGGGACAGACGGCUUGGCCAGCUUCCCUGGGAUGUAAUGCAGAGAGAUAUUUUCCCCUCCGACUCCAUGGUUCCCCACUCAGAGAAAAUAAAUAGAAGAAAAUGAGCCUCUAUCACAACUGAGGAUACCAAGUCACCAACGGAAGACUCACAGGCCAAAAUUAAACUGUAACCAAAAUCCCGUAAUUUCUGACUCAGGCCCACACGGGAUCUCAAGGUGAACUCUCGGGUCAGCCUUCAGCCUGGGAACGGGGGCCAGGCAGGUGCAUCCUCGUGGAAAGAGGGAACAUAAGCCCGAGAGGAAGGCCCUGGCUGGAAGUCCACCAGGCCUAGUGGGACAGUGACUCUGGAUUUGGUCAUUUUGCUUGGGACACGUCCAUGAGAGAGCAUCAUCCUUCCUGCCAGUAGCCCCCAGUGUCUAGGCUACCCAGUACGAGAAGGAAGGAAGGGGCUUCCACGUCUCACAGCCCUGUGCUCUAGGAGGGGUGAGAGACAGGAUUCAAGAACUGCAGCAACCAUGUUAAUGACCAUGACUUUCCCCCAGAAACACAGGAUUUUCCUACCUUUGAUGAGUGAACCAAAACGGUAGCAGUAGAGGAAAGGCAUACUGCUUGCGGGGUGUGGAGC